rnacentral:rRNA from 1 species
UACGGGGGGGAGCAAGCGUUGUCCGGAAUCAUUGGGCGUAAAGCGCGUGUAGGCGGCUCGGUAAGUCUGCUGUGAAAGUCCAGGGCUCAACCCUGGGAUGCCGGUGGAUACUGUCGAGCUCGAGUCCGGAAGAGGCGAGUGGAAUUCCUGGUGUAGCGGUGAAAUGCGCAGAUAUCAGGAGGAACACCAAUGGCGAAGGCAGCUCGCUGGGACGUGACUGACGCUGAGAACGCGAAAGCGUGGGGGAGCAAACAGG